GCGUCCGUAGCUCAGCUGGAUAGAGUAUCUGGCUACGAACCAGGCGGUCAGAGGUUCGAAUCCUCUCGGACGCGCCA
rnacentral:tRNA from 1 species